GAUGAACGCUGGCGGCGUGCCUAAUACAUGCAAGUCGAGCGAACAGACGAGGAGCUUGCUCCUCUGACGUUAGCGGCGGACGGGUGAGUAACACGUGGAUAACCUACCUAUAAGAUUGGGAUAACUUCGGGAAACCGGAGCUAAUACCGGAUAAUAUAUUGAACCGCAUGGUUCAAUAGUGAAAGACGGUUUUGCUGUCACUUAUAGAUGGAUCCGCGCCGCAUUAGCUAGUUGGUAAGGUAACGGCUUACCAAGGCAACGAUGCGUAGCCGACCUGAGAGGGUGAUCGGCCACACUGGAACUGAGACACGGUCCAGACUCCUACGGGAGGCAGCAGUAGGGAAUCUUCCGCAAAGGGCGAAAGCCUGACGGAGCAACGCCGCGUGAGUGAUGAAGGUCUUCGGAUCGUAAAACUCUGUUAUUAGGGAAGAACAAAUGUGUAAGUAACUAUGCACGUCUUGACGGUACCUAAUCAGAAAGCCACGGCUAACUACGUG
rnacentral:rRNA from 1 species